GAUGCUUAUCAGAUGUUGGAGUCAUGCCGUUUAACAAGUUUGAAUUACCCCAUUCAAAGGAAAACAAUUGUUGCAGUUGGAAGGUGCAUUCAUUCCGUACCUACUAACGAUCUUUUGGACGUUUAUACCGAACGUUUGUACCUUCCAACUACAACAAUUGUGUUACCUUUGAAUGGGGUAAAUUCAAACUGGCCAAACAACAGGACUCAAGCAUUUCGCCCGGCAUUCAU
rnacentral:pre_miRNA from 1 species